CGGGGCCCGCGCGCGCAGGGUGCAGGGUGCGUUGAGCCAGUCUCUCGCUUGCAACGAAAGGCGGCAGCGACAAAAGGAGCCCAGUGGUUUUACUCUCCUCCUUCCAGCUCUGGGUCCUUCCUCUUGAGAGAGCCUGACCAUGCCAGCCUGCAGCUAGGGGGCUAAGACUCCUAAAAGGCCCAGGGUGCAGACCAGACUGCACACAGCACACCCGCUCCGUGCGUCGUGGAUAGUCACGCAGUUCGCACACAGCUCAUUCGUACCCGCUGGGAAAACUACUAGCCCUGUUCGCACCAAGAGGGGUCAGAGGUCAUGGGUGGCCCAGGAGGCCGAGGUCAAGGGCAGCCGGACAGAGCUCGGUGGGAAAGGGGCUCCUAACCCAGGGGCCACGCACGAACCGCAGAGCUCAGGGAAGCUUGGUGGAGGCUGGAAGUUGCUUUUCCCUGCAGGGUGGGCACGCGGCCUAAGGCAUCCGGGGCCAAGUUUGGCAGGGUCCCGGAGCUGAAAGCGCCAGGCUUCGGAAAACUAUCGUAAAUCCUACCCGCGUUGGGCUCAUGUUUUUAAGAGUUCAGCUCUGGAAGCCGCGAGGCAGAGCCAGGCAGGAUCCAAUCCUGGAGAGGCAGCCCGAACGGCCUGGUGAUCAAGAAGGGACCUUGAGCCAGCCUGCCGGACGCCCCUUUCGCGGGCCCUCGGUAAACGAGGGGGCGGCAGGGAUGAGCGAUUCGUAUCCUCUGCGCACAGCGCUCACCGCUUCGCUGUAGCCGGGCCACGGCCAGGUCUGUUGAAGCCGCGUUUCCAUGGCUGCGGUGCAGCCGGUUCCCACCUGCUGGCUGCAAGGGCCGAAGCCCCCAGCCCGGACUCGUAGCGGAUGGCGCCGGCCACCGAGCUAGGAGGGCGCGCGGGCUGCUCUGAGACGCGGUGGCGGUGGUGCGGACGACCGGAGUUCGCGGGUUUCGGUAGGGACCGGCCCGCGCGGCUCACUGCUCGCAGAGCCCCAGGCUCGGCCCAAGGCGGAGCGAAAGAGAAAUGCAGCUCGGAACUGGCCCUUUAAGAAAACAUUCCGUGCUCGUCGCUCCCGCCCGGGGCCCGCACCCUGGACACUUUAAAAGGACCCAGGUAGCCCUGAAGGCGAGGUGACCGUCCCCCCCGCCCUGCCCCGCGCAGCGCUGCGGCUCCUGCCCAAGUCGGGCCGAGGAGGAGACUGGCCGCUGCGGUUUUCUGCGCGACUUCCUCGGAUUUAACCCCCCACCACAAAUGCGCUGAUAGUUCGGACGCGGGUUCGGGCUGGUUUUGCUGCGUUUUAUUGCGUUUUAUUACUAAUUAAAAAGCUUUCGUUCGCCGUC